GAUGAAGAACGUAGCGAAAUGCGAUACGUAAUGUGGAUUGCAGAAUUCAGUGAAUCAUCGAAUCUUUGAACGCACAUUGCGCCCCCUGGCAUUCCGGGGGGCAUGCCUGUCCGAGCGUCAUUUCUGCCCUCCAGCCCGGCUGGGUGUUGGGCGCUGUCCCCCCGGGGACACGCCCCAAAGGCAGUGGCGGCGCCGCGUCGGGUCCUCGAGCGUAUGGGGCUUUGUCACCCGCUCGGGACGGACUCGUCGGCGCUGGUCUUCCUCCAGGCGACCCUUCGGGGCUCGUCUUCCUUCGGUUGACCUCGGAUCAGGUAGGGUUACCCGCUGAACUUAAGCAUAUCAAUAAGCGGAGGA
rnacentral:misc_RNA from 1 species